AAUCCACAACGUUCUCAGCGAUGGCGGCGGUGCGCGGAAGCCGCGGAAUCCCCCCCACCCGAAUUCUCUGAAAGCUGGUGACCUCGUGUUUGGGCGAGCACUGCGCAAGUGCUUGGGCGAGCGAAGGAUUCUUCACAACUACGCUUUUGCACCCUGGUCUUUGCCAGUGCUGAAGCCAACUGGUGGCCGAUUCGUUUGAGGUGUUGGCCCGAUCGUGGAUCGAUGUCAGCAUCUGGCCCCAUGGAAGAACGGCUUGGGAAUGACGGUCUGGCCUCGCUCACAGAGGCGGGAGGACAGCAGG